GGAAGAGGAGCUGCGUCGCGGGAACAGGGAUGCGGGAGCUCCCGCCGUCGCUCCACCUGUAGCCCCGCCCCUGACCCCGCCCACUUCCCAGCCCCUCCCUUCCAGGCGCAUCCUCGAGGUGGCGCAGUGGAGCAGCGCCGGGGCUCUGACGACUCUCUGAGGGAGCCUCGUCCGUCAGGCUCCGUCGUUUUGGUUCAGGCGCCGGUUAGUGGCGGGAGAGUCCACGCGGUGUGCCCAAGGAUAUUGUAGAACUCUCUAGUGACAGUGUGGGGAUGGGAGCUCCCGCCGACAGACUCUUGCUUUCUGGCUUGAUUCCUGAAUGACCCAGCAGAAUGGCAGAGGUGGUGGCUACUGAUAUGGCUCCGAUGAUGGGAGGAACACCAGGGUCCUUGGUCUUGCGCCGAUGUAGGGUCUUGCUAUGUUGACCACGCUGGUGUUGAACUCCUGGGCUCAAACCAUCCUCCCACCUCAGCCUCCCGAAUAUGUGUGUCUUCUAUUGAGAAAUGUCUAUUCAGAUCCUUUGAGUGGUAUUAAGUACUUUCAUGAGGUUGUACAACCAUCAUUACUAUUUCCAGAACUUUUAAAUCAUCCCAAAUGAAACUCUGUAUCCAUUAAACAAUUCAACUUCCCAU